AUGGCAGAUGCACCUCUACACAAGCAGUGCCACAUGUACACCAGGGAGCUCCACGACGUCGACCUCCACGGCAACCACAAGCUCCACGUCGUUUGCACAAGCAAGGGUGAAGACAUGGACAAGAUGUUGUCCACGCUCAGGAGGAAGCUCGACGGAAUACCCAUCAAACUAGUCGGUGUUGAUGUCGAGUACACACACUACAUGAAGCCACAGCGGGCAGCAGUGCUCCAGCUAUGCGUAGAAAAAGAAUGCCUUGUAUACCACAUCUCUAUAGCUAAAGACAUGCCAAUGGAACUAGACAAAUUCCUCAUGAAUGGUGAGUACACCUUCGUCAGAUUCACCAUUGAAGGAGAUAAAAGCAAGCUGAAGCUAUCUGGAUUGAAGAUCAACUCCGACAACUACAUUGAUAUUCAGGUGGAAUGGAAAGACCCAUACAAUAAAAAGGAGUUUGACUCUUUGGCUGAUGUUGCCGGCAAGAUGAUUGACAUUCACUACCAUGACAUGAAAAAAAAUUUAUCCGCAAGGAGGAUCAUACUCUGUGGGGAUUUUGCCUGCUGCCAGACAAUCUUAUCAAGUAUGCAGCAAUUGAUGCAUUCGCAACAUAUGAGUCAUGGAGAAUCAUCUACGAUGUCAUAA
rnacentral:rRNA from 1 species